rnacentral:rRNA from 1 species
UACGGAGGGGACUAGCGUUGUUCGGAAUUACUGGGCGUAAAGCGCACGUAGGCGGAUUGUUAAGUCAGGGGUGAAAUCCCUGGGACUCAACUCCAGAACUGCCUUUGAUACUGGCGAUCUCGAGUCCGGGAGAGGUGAGUGGAACUGCGAGUGUAGAGGUGAAAUUCGUAGAUAUUCGCAAGAACACCAGUGGCGAAGGCGGCUCACUGGCCCGGUACUGACGCUGAGGUGCGAAAGCGUGGGGAGCAAACAGG